rnacentral:rRNA from 1 species
AGCAGUGGGGAAUCUUGCGCAAUGGGCGAAAGCCUGACGCAGCCAUGCCGCGUGAAUGAUGAAGGUCUUAGGAUUGUAAAAUUCUUUCACCGGGGACGAUAAUGACGGUACCCGGAGAAGAAGCCCCGGCUAACUUCGUGCCAGCAGCCGCGGUAAUACGAAGGGGGCUAGCGUUGCUCGGAAUUACUGGGCGUAAAGGGAGCGUAGGCGGACAUUUAAGUCAGGGGUGAAAUCCCGGGGCUCAACCUCGGAAUUGCCUUUGAUACUGGGUGUCUUGAGUAUGAGAGAGGUGUGUGGAACUCCGAGUGUAGAGGUGAAAUUCGUAGAUAUUCGGAAGAACACCAGUGGCGAAGGCGACACACUGGCUCAUUACUGACGCUGAGGCUCGAAAGCGUGGGGAGCAAACAGGAUUAGAUACCCUGGUAGUCCACGCCGUAAACGAUGAUUGCUAGUUGUCGGGAUGCAUGCAUUUCGGUGACGCAGCUAACG